CUGAAACACCAGCUUUACAAAAGAUGGCUACAAGGAUAUUAUCUUUGACAUCAAGCUCUUCUGGUUGUGAAAGAAAUUGGAGUGGGUUUGAAGGGAUACACACUAAGAAGAGAAAUAGGCUGACUACAACCCGCCUCAACAAGUUGGUCUAUAUUCAGUUCAAUAACAGGCUGAUGAAUAACAGAGAAAAGAUUAAGUCAAAGAAAAUCACUGAUGUUCUCUAGUCUAGUGAUACAACUGAAGCUCAAGGUUUUCUCCAAGAGGGUGGAGAUGAUUGUGCACAAGUUGUCUUUAGAGAUGAGGAGGAAGAUGAGAUGGAAGGUACAUGGAUACCUUGGUCUGUUAUUGGAGAGGCAGUUGGAGCAGAAGAACAGCUUGAGCCUCGUAGAAGUGCAAGAGUGAGAGAGCUCUAUGAAGGAGAAGACUUUGAGUCUGAAGAAGAAGAGUAUGAAGAUGAAGAUUUGUGCUACAGUGAAGAUGAAAUAUGAUCUGGACCAUCUCCAUCUAGUAGUGAAGCCUUUUGUGAUGCCCUGGUCUUAUGAACUGCAGCUGUGUCACUUUGUGUCUGUGUGUCUUCUUUUGUGUGAGACCUGAACUAAGAACUAUGUGCUUGUGUUGUCCUUUAUUUAUAAAUUGUGUUCUGCACUUGUAUUA